AUUUGUUCUUUAGCUUUGUGGUGCAUCUGACUCAGGCUAGGCAUGGGCUAGAACAGAUUUCUGGAUACUUCUCAUGGAAGAGAAUUACUUACGUACCAAAGAUUUUCCUCCUCCUCUCUGAGCAGAAGUCUUAAGAAGGCUCAGCCAACCAUCAUUUGGAGUGGAUUCUCGGAAGACUUUACAGAUGUAGCCUUAGCUGAAGAGGAGAUGGAUCUUAUAUUGAAUUGUCAUUUGUCAGCCGCCAAAGGAAAGUGUCUCCUAGGUGGCAUGGCUAUUUCAAUUAGUCACUCUCCUGAUCCAUCAUCUAUUUCCCUAUCAGCCCCUUAGCCUUUGAUUAUAACUGUCAACCACAACAAGAUUCCUUGUAUAAGAAGACUUCUGAGUCGACGCCAAAGUGCAUCUCUCUAGAGUGCUCUCUGCCUCUCAGUCCAAGUACGUGGCAGUCACCUCGGGUAGUAAAAUAGAUGUCUGCGUUUGUCAAGUGAUUUCUUUGGUAUUGAUGAGACUCAGGUGCCAGUAUUAGUAAAGACCCUUGGUGAUGGCUAUCUUUGGCCAAAAUGCGCUUCUUCUAAAUUUAUGUCUUUAAUGUCUAAAGCCACACCACACCCUGACCCUGUGAUAUCUGGAAGCAGGAGCUCAGGGAGCUGAAUAAAUCAUAAGGGAUAAGUCAUCA